rnacentral:tRNA from 1 species
AGGAGCGUAGCUCAGUUGGUUAGAGCAUCGUCAUGACAUGGCGAGGGUCCUCGGUUCGAAUCCGAGCGUUCCUACCA